rnacentral:rRNA from 1 species
CCUACGGGUGGCUGCAGUGGGGAAUAUUGGACAAUGGGGGCAACCCUGAUCCAGCCAUGCCGCGUGUGUGAAGAAGGCCCUCGGGUUGUAAAGCACUUUCAGUGAGGAAGAACGCCUGGUGGUUAAUACCCAUCAGGAAAGACAUCACUCACAGAAGAAGCACCGGCUAACUCCGUGCCAGCAGCCGCGGUAAUACGGAGGGUGCGAGCGUUAAUCGGAAUUACUGGGCGUAAAGCGCGCGUAGGUGGCUUGAUAAGCCGGUUGUGAAAGCCCCGGGCUCAACCUGGGAACGGCAUCCGGAACUGUGAAGCUAGAGUGCAGGAGAGGAAGGUAGAAUUCCCGGUGUAGCGGUGAAAUGCGUAGAGAUCGGGAGGAAUACCAGUGGCGAAGGCGGCCUUCUGGACUGACACUGACACUGAGGUGCGAAAGCGUGGGUAGCAAACAGGAUUAGAUACCCUAGUAGUC